rnacentral:rRNA from 1 species
GAUGAACGCUGGCGGCGUGCUUAACACAUGCAAGUCGAACGGAAAGGCCCCUGCUUGCAGGGGUACUCGAGUGGCGAACGGGUGAGUAACACGUGGGUGAUCUGCCCUGCACUUCGGGAUAAGCCUGGGAAACUGGGUCUAAUACCGGAUAGGACGAUGGUUUGGAUGCCAUUGUGGAAAGUUUUUCGGUGUGGGAUGGGCUCGCGGCCUAGCAGCUUGUUGGUGGGGUUAUGGCCUACCAAGGCGUCGACGGGUAGCCGGCCUAAGAGGGGGUUGGGCCACGUUGGAACUGAGAUACGGCCCAAGCACCUAGGGGAGGCAGCAGAUGGGAGUAUGGCACAAUGAGCGCAGGCCUGAUGAAGCGGCGCGGCGUGGGGGAUGACGGCCUUCGGGGUGUAAGGUUCUUUCGCUAGGGACGACGCGCAAGUGACGGUACCUAGAAAAAAAGCACCGGCUAACUACGU